UAGGGAAUUUUCGUCAAUGGGGGGAACCCUGAACGAGCAAUGCCGCGUGUGUGAAGAAGGUCUUCGGAUCGUAAAGCACUGUUGUAAGUGAAGAAUGCCAUAUAGAGGAAAUGCUAUGUGGGUGACGGUAGCUUACCAGAAAGCCACGGCUAACUACGUGCCAGCAGCCGCGGUAAUACGUAGGUGGCAAGUGUUAUCCGGAAUCAUUGGGCGUAAAGGGUGCGUAGGUGGCACGAUAAGUCUGAAGUAAAAGGCAACAGCUCAACUGUUGUAUGCUUUGGAAACUGUCGAGCUAGAGUGCAGAAGAGGGCGAUGGAAUUCCAUGUGUAGCGGUAAAAUGCGUAGAUAUAUGGAGGAACACCAGUGGCGAAGGCGGUCGCCUGGUCUGUAACUGACGCUGAGGCACGAAAGCAUGGGUAGCAAACAGGAUUAGAUACC
rnacentral:rRNA from 1 species